rnacentral:rRNA from 1 species
AACCGCGAAUGGCUCAUUAUAACAGCUAUAAUUUACUUGAUCUUGACACAAUCCUACUUGGAUAACUGUGGUAAUUCUAGAGCUAAUACAUGCAUUAAAGCUCUGACCUCACGGGAAGAGUGCAUUUAUUAGAACAAAACCAAGCGGCUUCGGCUGUUUCUGGUUGACUCAUAGUAACUGAGCUGAUCGCAUGGUCUUGCACCGGCGACGUGUCUUUCAAGUAUCUGCCGUAUCAACUUUCGAUGGUAGUGUAUCUGACUACCAUGGUGAUCACGCGUAACGGAGAAUAAGGGUUCGGCUCCGGAGAGUUCGCCUGAGAAAUCGCGAACACAUCUAAGGAAGGCAGCAGGCGCGAAAAUUACCCACUCUCAGCACGAGGAGGUAGUGACGAAAAAUAACGAGACCGUUCUCUUAUGAGGCCGGUCAUCGGAAUGGGUACAAUUUAAA